rnacentral:rRNA from 1 species
CACUCCUGCGGGAGGCAGCAGUAGGGAAUCUUCCACAAUGGGUGCAAACCUGAUGGAGCAAUGCCGCGUGAGUGAAGAAGGUCUUCGGAUCGUAAAGCUCUGUUGUUAGAGAAGAACACGUGCUAGGUAACUACUAGCGCCUUGACGGUAUCUAACCAGAAAGUCACGGCUAACUACGUGCCAGCAGCCGCGGUAAUACGUAGGUGACAAGCGUUGUCCGGAUUUAUUGGGCGUAAAGGGAGCGCAGGCGGUCUGUUUAGUCUAAUGUGAAAGCCCACGGCUUAACCGUGGAACGGCAUUGGAAACUGACAGACUUGAAUGUAGAAGAGGAAAAUGGAAUUCCAAGUGUAGCGGUGGAAUGCGUAGAUAUUUGGAGGAACACCAGUGGCGAAGGCGAUUUUCUGGUCUAACAUUGACGCUGAGGCUCGAAAGCGUGGGGAGCGAACAGGAUUAGAUACCCCAGUAGUCCCA